AGUGAACGCUGGCGGUAGGCCUAACACAUGCAAGUCGAACGGCAGCACAGGAGAGCUUGCUCUCUGGGUGGCGAGUGGCGGACGGGUGAGGAAUACAUCGGAAUCUACUCUGUCGUGGGGGAUAACGUAGGGAAACUUACGCUAAUACCGCAUACGACCUACGGGUGAAAGCAGGGGACCUUCGGGCCUUGCGCGAUUGAAUGAGCCGAUGUCGGAUUAGCUAGUUGGCGGGGUAAAGGCCCACCAAGGCGACGUUCCGUAGCUGGGCUGAGAGGAUGAUCAGCCACACUGGAACUGAGACACGGUCCAGACUCCUACGGGAGGCAGCAGUGGGGAAUAUUGUACAAUGGGCGCAAGCCUGAUCCAGCCAUACCGCGUGGGUGAAGAAGGCCUUCGGGUUGUAAAGCCCUUUUGUUGGGAAAGAAAUCCAGCUGGCUAAUACCCGGUUGGGAUGACGGUACCCAAAGAAUAAGCACCGGCUAACUUCGUGCCAGCCGCCGCGGUAA
rnacentral:rRNA from 1 species